GACAAAUAAAGUCAUCUUAAUAUGACAGCACUGUUACUGUGCAUUGUCCUGCACCGAGGAGUGAACACGAGACCAGCUGUGUGAGUGUGACAAAGACAAAUAUUAUAGAAAAGGAACUCGUUUCAGCUUGUCUUCAGACUAAUGGAUGCCUAAUGGAACAUUUGCAUCACUGGCCAAGGGAGGAACACCAUGUCGCGCGCAGCAGUUAGGAAUCCAACUUUGGGCUGUGCCUGCAUGGGGAGCAUGCCCCGGCUUGCAGGAGAAAUCUUACAUAAGAGAGAGGCGUCGUCCCCUUUAACAGACAUUACGUGAUGCUGAAAUGACAUGGUCAGUUUAUCCUCAGAACAACACACAGAAAGGGUCAAACAUUGGCGUGACUCCAACGUUAGGCAGUGGGGUCAUAUGUCAUGCUGCUACAGAAUGAGGACCGUACUAAGAGACUAAAUGUACAGUGGUAAAGCAGACAGUUUGUUCCAGACAGAAGAUGAUGUGCGUAAGUUUCGCAAACAUGCCGUAACAGCUCACCAUGAUGAGAUAAUUAGGUGAUGGGAAUUUGAGGAGGAUUGCACUCCAUACCUUCAUUAGGCAACUUUUGCAUUUUCUGUUUUGUUUCGUUGUUGUUUUCUCAAUUAUGAUGUCACCCUUUUACUUUCACUUUCUGUGUUUCAUUCUUCAAUCAUAUUCUGUAUAGACUUGUCUGUUAUGUUGCUUUUGUUGAUUUAUUUUUCAUCUUAUGAUAUCAUCUGUUUUUGUGCAUAUAACCUACUGGUGCUUUGCGUCACCGUCCUUGAUAACGCAUCUGAUCUUCAACUGUAUGACAUCAUGACUUCCAUCUUCAUAUUUUCUUUGUCCUUUCUGCCUUUUAUCUUUCUGCCUGUCUCUCGCUCUCCCUCUCACCUGUUGACUAUUGUCCAAAUACUAUUGUCUUUUAAUUAAAGUGCUUGAGAAUGUGAGAUUAUUGAUUUCAAAGGCCAAUAAAGUAAAUUGAACUGAA